CCUGCUGUCAGGCUAUGCUAACAACUAACCUGAUGCAUUUUCUACUCCAUCAAUCCAUGGGAGAACUUCGCGUUUGCAUAGUUCCUAGGACAUAUGCAUGCGCAACACAUAGGUUCAAAAGGUGACCAAAGCGAUUGUCGAUUCAUUGCAUCGGAAACUUGAAACACGAGGAUAUUCAAGGGUUUAUUCCUUUCACCCACUCUCUUUUCCUCUCCUUUCUUUUCUUCUCUUUCGGAUGUUCAAUUGCUCAUUUCCACCGGAGGUGCCUUUAUACGCAGUUCUGGCUUUGCAAGGCAAAAGAC
rnacentral:sRNA from 1 species